UGGUGCUUUUGACCGACGGUCACUCGAAUGGAGAUGUAAUCCCUGGUCCUCAGGCAGCACUACUGAGGGCAACAGGAGUAGAGAUCUUCACCAUUGGCAUCGGAAGCUACGAUUACUCCGAACUACUGUCCAUUGCGUCACCUCCAUAUGCUGGUGUGCAUGUUUAUCCGUACAAUAACUUCAAUGACUUCAAUGGGCUUGCACUGGAAAUACGAGGAGAUGCCCACGAGACCCGCUAUCUUUACUUUAACCAACACUAUUGCCCGCAAACCUGUUCCUCCAACGCUGACUGCACAUGUGAAACACUGUCUGGCGCUUGGGGAUGUCAUUGCCGAGCAGGUUUCAGUGGACUAUCAGGACAGUGUACAGAGUGCCCCGUUGGUUUCUACAAGAGCGGACUCGGACCUGCUGACAGUUGUGACGAAUGUCCACAUAAC